UACCUGGCGUAUGCGCCAGACAUACAGUCCUCGAGCCGAUACUAUGAAACCGGAGGUUUCCUGAUACUGUAGGUGUGCAUGUCCGGCAUGGUCCGGGAAGCCUGAUACAGUACGGGGGCCACCACCUUGAACCGUCGGGUUCAAGGGCAGUGCUGUCAGCGGUAUGCCGGGAAU
rnacentral:other from 1 species